rnacentral:rRNA from 1 species
AUUGAAAGCUGGCGGCAGGCCUAACACAUGCAAGUCGAGAGAGAGGCGGACGGUUGAGUAAUGACUGGGAAAAUGAAUGAUGGAGGGGGCUAACUACUGGAAACGGUAGCUAAUACCGCAUCCGAUCAGAUGUGCCCAGAUGGGAUUAGCUAGUAGGUGGGGUAACGGCUCACCUAGGAGACGAUCCCUAGCUGGUCUGAGAGGAUGACCAGCCACCCUGGAACUUAGACACGGUCCAGACUCCUACGGGAGGCAGCAGUGGGGAAUAUUGCACAAUGGGCGCAAGCCUGAUGCAGCCAUGCCGCGUGUGUGAAGAAGGCCUUCGGGUUGUAAAGCACUUUCAGCGGGGAGGCGUUACCCGCAGAAGAAGCACCGGCUAACUCCGUGCCAGCAGCCGCGGUAAUAC